rnacentral:rRNA from 1 species
UAUUGGUCAAUGGACGAAAGUCUGAACCAGCAAUGCCGCGUGAGGGACGAAGGCCUUCGGGUUGUAAACCUCUGUUGUCAGGGAAGAAGCCGGUAUCCAACCCGGUGACGGUACCUGACGAGGAACCCCCGGCUAACUCCGUGCCAUCCGCCGCGGUGGUACGUAGGGGGCGAGCGUUAUCCGGAUUCACUGGGCGUAAAGGGCGUGUAGGCGGUUACGUAAGUCGGAUGUGAAAGCUCGGGGCUCAACCCCGGAAGCGCACCCGAAACUACGUUGACUUGAGGGCGGUAGAGGCAGAUGGAACUCGCGGUGUAGCGGUGGAAUGCGCAGAUAUCGCGAGGAACGCCGGUGGCGAAGGCGAUCUGCUGGGCCGACCCUGACGCUGAGGCGCGAAAGCGUGGGGAGCAAAC